ACGAUUCACCAAAAAUGUUUGAACGAUUCACCACACCUUGAAGAUCAGCUGUAUAUAUCGUUGAAAAUGAGCCAUGGAGGAUGUGAUAUUGAAAAUCAUAAAUUUUUUACACUGCAAGACAGUCAUACUAGAUUAUACUGCAGAAUGCAGUAAAGCAGAGCUCGGUUCUCUCGGAUGGGAUGAGAUGGAUGUUGAGGAGGAGUACAUGGAAGAGGAGGAGGAGGCGAAAGGGGACUACAAGCUGCAUUAAUUGGUGGAGGCCUUCUCCUCCUCUCGGCCACUACUACAUGGACCAGUGCUCCAACAAAAGGGGAAAUGAUUGAUCCCGAAACACGGACGAAGAUGAAGAAGACGGUAUUCAACCGGGUCUUUAAUGUCCCCGUUGAUUGGACGGCACGAUGAAGGUGGUGGCACCACCCGAGAAAGAGUCGGAGACCAGCAAGAAGAGACCUGCUCAACCUGUCACCUUGGAGGUCAAAAGGACCCAGCGUCUGUGUCCCUGGGAUGAUGAUCAACAAGAAAGCCGGUGGCAAGCCUGUCGUCGUAUCAGAGGAUCUGUCGGAACCAGAGACGCUUGGGAAG